rnacentral:rRNA from 1 species
GACGAACGCUGGCGGCGUGCCUAAUACAUGCAAGUCGAGCGGACGAAUCGAAAGCUUGCUUUUGAUUCGUUAGCGGCGGACGGGUGAGUAGCACGUGGGCAACCUGCCCUGUAGACGGGGAUAACACCGAGAAAUCGGUGCUAAUACCGGAUAACACGAAAUGUCGCAUGACGUUUCGUUGAAAGACGGCGCAAGCUGUCGCUACAGGAUGGGCCCGCGGCGCAUUAGCUAGUUGGUGAGGUAACGGCUCACCAAGGCGACGAUGCGUAGCCGACCUGAGAGGGUGAUCGGCCACACUGGGACUGAGACACGGCCCAGACUCCUACGGGAGGCAGCAGUAAGGAAUCUUCCGCAAUGGACGAAAGUCUGACGGAGCAACGCCGCGUGAGCGAAGAAGGCCUUCGGGUCGUAAAGCUCUGUUGUUAGGGAAGAACAAGUAACGCAGUAACUGGCGUUACCGUGACGGUACCUAACGAGAAAGCCACGGCUAACUACGUG